GAGUAAAAACAAAAGAAAGAAAACAAAUCAUAAUUAUUUGAGUGAUAUAAUCUUUUAUUUGUCAAAAUAUUGGUAGAUGGACUUGAGGUUAUAUAACUUUCUUUGUUACAAAUCUAUUGUUAGAUGAUUACUAAUCAUCUUCAAUACUUUGCAUCAAUGAUAAGUUAUCCAUUGAUGCGCCAUAUUUUCAGUUUUUUGACCUAUGGAUAGAUAAUCCUCAAAAUGUUCAUUUUGCACAUAUUACUAACCACUAAUUAU
rnacentral:lncRNA from 1 species